ensembl:lncRNA
AGAUAAAUAAACUGAAUUGAUUAAACUCAAUUUACAGUUAUUGAUGAACUACAGUAGAUUUGGAAAGAUAUUUCAACUUAGAAAAAAUCCCACAGAUUUCCCCUCUGCCACUCCCCACCCUUCCCCAGACUCCACUCUCAGUGCCAACGUAGCAAUUUUACUUCUAGAAUUCAUUGAUGGAGAAAAUUCUAUGCACAGAUUCAGAAAUCCGUUGCUGAGACACAAAUGCCACCACACACCCCUCCUCUCCCUGCCCACAGUCCGGUGUGAAGCACACAUCCUGGGAACUGCUGGAAUCAUUUAAGGAGCCCAUUUUAAGGAGAGAUCAAUAGAAGAUAAUAAAUUAAGUUUUCCAAAGUAUCUUGAACUACAUUGAGGAAAUAUCUGGAAACGUGUAGAAGCAGGUGAACAGUAUGUGUGAUGACAGGAUAAAUUAUUACAGGAACAGAAAGUUAUAAGAGUGAUAGAAGAAAUUGACCUGGGCUUUGCCAGCUGCUGACAAUUCUCCAGAACUACCAGGAGAACUGACUUACACACUUAGUGUAUCAAGAAAAGAUAUAUUUGACUGAUAACCAAGAAGUUACGUAACUUACGAAAGAAAUAGAGCCAGAGGCUCACUGCAACACUGUCAUCAAGGUCUACUCAGGAGAGACCUGGUCCAGUAGACCCCUUGAAAUGAUGCAGCAGAUGAGGAGCUUCUGAGAACGACUCUGAACUUCAGGGAGUAUUUGUAUGAAAGGGUUCCAUGAUGCAUGAUUGACCAGGAAAAUAUCUUACAUAAAGCACUCUGAUAUCCAAGUGCACUACUUGCAUUCUUUUAUGAAGUAAAAACACUUUUCUGAACACUCGAAUGUAAUAUAAUUAUUCUCUUUCAUUUAUUUGAAUGGUAAAUGACAGUAUCUAAAAAUCAUAAAAUAGCAGCCCCCUUCUUUUAUGUACAUUUCUGUCUAAAUGAAAUCUGCCGUACUUCAAGGCCUAUGCUGAGUGUCAUAUUCUUGUUCUGGUUCAGUCUGUAACCCAUACUGCAUGCUUUGACGCUGAGAAUCUGAAAGCACUCAUUUUUUUUUCAAUUUCAAUUCUAUUUUAUGUACUCAAAAAUAUAUUUUCUAGAAGAAAAGAGGAAGAACAUCAAAGAUUUUUUUUAUUUGUGCUUUUCACUUGUUAUUUGAUUUUUCAUAAGUAAGCUUCAAAAGAGUUUGUUUUCCUGUUGAAAAUCUAUGAGUUUUCACCGUAAACGGUAAACAGGGGUAGAACAUACAAAGUAACCUAGCAACAAUCCGAAUUCCAUCCACAUUCCUGGCCUAUCCUCUGGUUCUACAGGAAAGAGCCAUUCAACCCAGGAACAGACAAGAAAGAGAGCUGAAACCUUUGUGACAAUGCUGGAAAAUUAGCAAUGAGUGAAGUAUUAUACAACAACACGGUUUUGCUUUUUAGAAGCUCCUGGUUUUUUAAAGUUUGGUAAGAGGAUGAAGAUUUGGGUUCAAGUAACUGGAAGAAGGCAGUUGCCAUUUGCGGAAGGGAGAGCGAGUUUCAGGAGUACAGGGAAUUGAAAGUUCAGUUUCUGCUAUGUUGAGUUCAAAAUACAUUAAGGUGUUCUCUCCGAGAGGAGGAUCAUAGUAGGCAGAUGAUAAUCAGAUAUGGAGGCAGAUAAUGUUUUUUAAAACAAACACAUGCCUACUUUAUAGGACUGCUUUAAUGUCAUCUACUGAAUAAUUUUAUAUUCAUGAAGUACUUUGAGCUCCUCAGGAAAUCUUUUUAAAAAAUGAAUAAAGAAAGAACUAGCUAUUUCUUUAACUCAUUCCAAGACUGAGUGAAACUUUUCAUUGUGAUUGAGGAAUAAGCAUUAAACAAAUAAUCUCAGAUUGAGACGUGUCACGAUGAUAGCUUUAUGUCUCUCUUUCACCGAUAAAUUCCAUGGAAACUUUGUAGGACCUUCAUGUUCUCAAAAGCCAGGCCAAAAUAUACACCCAGGAUGGAAUCUUUCUAAGGUCCCCAGAGGGCAAGAGCUAUGUCUGCUUAAUCUGAAUCUAUAGUACCUAAAAUAAUGUCACUUGAUUGCAAAUAAAGAUGAUGACGACAAUGAUCACCCAGCAGCUGCUUCUCAGAAAAGGCUCAAGAAAAAUCCAUCCCACAAGCUUAAAACACAGUUGCACUGAGGCAACAUGUUACUAGCUCAUGGUAACUGCAGCCACUUUUCAGAAAGGCCCCAAAUCAUCUCAAAAGUACCGACAAGAGGAAGAGGUACUAACGUAUUCACUCCAGGCGACUUUAGGCGACACAUUAAUUCUGGAACAUGAAUAUAAAUAAAUAAUAAAUACAAUUGAAUUCAUCCCAAUCUAUCAUAGAACUUCUUUGACAACAUAAAAGUCAACAAAUAAAUCAGAAUAAUAGGAUUUUGACAAAACAAGACAUUUAUCUAUUCC